rnacentral:rRNA from 1 species
AUUGAACGCUGGCGGCAUGCCUAACACAUGCAAGUCGAACGGUAACAGGCCCUUCGGGUGCUGACGAGUGGCGGAUGGGUGAGUAAUACUUAGGAAUCUACCCUGUAGUGGGGGACGAACCCGGGGAAACGUCGGGCUAAUACCGCAUACGCUCUACGGAGGAAAGCGGGGGACCGGCAAGGCCUCGCGCUAUUGGAUGAGCCUAAGCCCGAUUAGCUAGUUGGUGGGGUAAUAGCCUACCAAGGCAAUGAUCGGUAGCUGGUCUGAGAGGACGACCAGCCACACUGGGACUGAGACACGGCCCAGACUCCUACGGGAGGCAGCAGUGGGGAAUAUUGGACAAUGGGCGAAAGCCUGAUCCAGCGAUGCCGCGUGUGUGAAGAAGGCCUGCGGGUUGU